GAUGAACGCUGGCGGCGUGCCUAAUACAUGCAAGUCGAGCGAACAGACGAGGAGCUUGCUCCUCUGACGUUAGCGGCGGACGGGUGAGUAACACGUGGGUAACCUACCUAUAAGACUGGGAUAACUUCGGGAAACCGGAGCUAAUACCGGAUAAUAUAUUGAACCGCAUGGUUCAAUAGUGAAAGACGGUUUUGCUGUCACUUAUAGAUGGAUCCGCGCCGCAUUAGCUAGUUGGUAAGGUAACAGCUUACCAAGGCAACGAUGCGUAGCCGACCUGAGAGGGUGAUCGGCCACACUGGAACUGAGACACGGUCCAGACUCCUACGGGAGGCAGCAGUAGGGAAUCUUCCGCAAUGGGCGAAAGCCUGACGGAGCAACGCCGCGUGAGUGAUGAAGGUCUUCGGAUCGUAAAACUCUGUUAUUAGGGAAGAACAAAUGUGUAAGUAACUAUGCACGUCUUGACGGUACCUAAUCAGAAAGCCACGGCUAACUACGUG
rnacentral:rRNA from 1 species